AUAAUAGAAAACGGCUGAGAAUAAUGAAGAGAUAACAAUGAAACAAUCAAAGUCAAUGUACCACAUGAUAUGGUAUCGAUCGUUAUAGGAGUUUAGGGCUGCGCAGGGCUGCGCAGCCUUCAGCUCAAAUUGUGUUCAUGAACAAAAGAUCAUUAGACCGUGCAAUAUGGAUUGAAAAGAAUAUUGCUAUGACUCAUAUUUCAAUUAUAAACGCGUACAAUCCUCUUUCAUACGCUAAAAAUUAUAAGGGUGAGCUUGAGAGCCAAAACCCAUAGAAUAGAAUAGGAUCCUAUGGGCUGCGCAGUCAGAUGUCUUCAAUCAUUACCAUUGGUCUGACAAGAUACUCAACAUCGACAAUGGACUUGAAAUAAUUCAUACAAAAAAAAAUAAUAACAAUCUUAAGAAACAUAACCUCUACUAGAGGCUGACUGGUCACAUGGCAUGAGACAACACACACUCAUCUACGAUUAAUACAAAUAUUAUUAUUAUUUAAUGAGAUGAGAUUUAGGAAAUUAAGGGAGCAUACAUAGGAUGUUGGAGAUAUGGUAUUUUCAUCAGGUGGUGGAUGGUUUUUUAUUCAAGAAAGUAAAUAGAAGCCGGGUAAUAUAAUCGCUUGAAUUAUGAAGAAAUAGGCAAACAUAAAAGCUGUCAUAAUCAAUCACUUUAAGAUGAAUGAAAGUUUGAUACCUGGUUUAGUUUUUGAACAACAAUAAGUCUACAUACCCAUAUUAAUGGUAAACACAAAAAGAUGAUUCUAUGGUGGAACUAUUAUUUCAUAAAAAUCUCUUAGUUCUGGAUCGUAUACGAAAUAUAAGUGUGUUAUUAAAUUCACCGGUAGUAAUAUACCGCCUAUUGUCAACUAUGUAAGUAGAAAAGCAAAAAUCACCAAACUGCCUGCGCAGGCUAUCACUGCUAAGGUUGAGAAUGGACUGCGCAGCAUCCUGACCAGGAUUGAAAAUACAGCUACCACAAGCCAAA